CUACGGGAGGCAGCAGUGGGGAAUAUUGCGCAAUGGGGGAAACCCUGACGCAGCAACGCCGCGUGCGGGACGAAGGCUCUCGGGUCGUAAACCGCUUUCAGGAGGGAAGAAAAUGACGGUACCUCCAGAAGAAGCCCCGGCCAACUACGUGCCAGCAGCCGCGGUAACACGUAGGGGGCGAGCGUUGUCCGGAUUUAUUGGGCGUAAAGAGCUCGUAGGCGGCUUGGUAAGUCGGGUGUGAAACCUCCAGGCUCAACCUGGAGACGCCACUCGAUACUGCUAUGGCUAGAGUCCGGUAGGGGGGAGUGGAAUUCCUGGUGUAGCGGUGAAAUGCGCAGAUAUCAGGAGGAACACCAGCGGCGAAGGCGGCGCUCUGGGCCGGAACUGACGCUGAGGAGCGAAAGCAUGGGGAGCGAACAGGAUUAGAUACCCCAGUAGUCC
rnacentral:rRNA from 1 species